GCAGAGAAAGAAAAAAAAACUUUUCAAUUAUCCUGCUCCUGAAGGAUAAAUGUAAAACAUCUUGUUUUCGGUAAGUUUUAUGCUCCUGUUUAUUAAAUAGUGUUAGUGCAUUCAUCUGUCCAGUCUUUCCUCUAAAUUGUAUCCUCUUUAAGUUUUUGGUGAGUGUUCACAAUGAAUUUCAGUAAGUAACUUGUGGAUUUACAUGUUUAUACUCAAAAUGUAGUACUAAUAUUAAUGGGAUUUUAGCAUGACAUCCUGGAAAAUGCUUGUUAAUCAUGUUUAUGUUCCAGAACAUAUGAGUAUUUGGACUGUACGCGUACAGUCUGCCCAAUUUUUAGAAGUUGGUCAAGUUUAUUAGAAACAAAUGUACAGUACAGAUCAACAUAACUGAAAUCGUUAAUAGAUUAAUACAAAAAGUUUGCAGUUGAAAUAAAAACACAUGUUUGGUUGAGCUGGUACUAGACACUUUUUUUUACAUAAAUAAGGCCGUUAGUUUUCUCGUUUGAAUUGUUUUACAUUGUCUUAUCGGGGCCUAUUAUAGCUGACUAUGCGGUAUGGGCUUUGCUCAUUGUUGAAGGCCGUACAGUGACCUAUAGUUGUUAAUGUCUGUGUCAUUUUGGUCUUUUGUGGAUAGUUGUCUCAUUGGCAAUCAUACCACAUCUUCUUUUUUAUACUACAAGUAUUCUCAAAUGGUCUGACUGUAUGCAUAUGGUGGGACUGUAAGUGUAUACUUUUAUGUUCCGGACCGUAAACGUACGGUCCAAAAACUGAUAUGAUCUGGAAUAUUUAUACAUGUCUUAAAAUUAAUAUCAAACACAUUGGUUUUUUUUAACUUGGUAAUAAGUUAUUCGAUAGAACUAUAAUGUUUUGAGAUUAUCAAAAUCAAAAAUAUCCCAUUUUUACAUUUGAUAAAGAAGAAGAUUAUUGAUGUAUGUAUAAAUGUAUAUUAAAAUGAGACGGCAAGCCAACAACACAAAAAAUAAGGAUAAAACAAUAUAAUUUUUUGUAUCAAUGUUAUAAUUUACAAUAUAUCCAAAGGUAUUUUUUCAUUGAAAUAAAACACAAGCUGAAAUCUGUCAGAACUUUAAAAGCGUAAAGAAAUAUUCUUUCUGUUGUCUACAUUUUGUAUAAUAUAUUGCAAAUUCUUGUGAAUAAUGGAAUGUUAUUAUAGUUGACUAAAGUUUUAACAUUGAUCUUUAUAUAUAUAACUUGGGAAAAUACCAAAAUGUUAUAAAGAAGAAUAAAUUAAUUGAUUGUUAUAUAAUAUAAGAAUAGGAAGAUGUGGUAUAUUGCUAAUUUGACAACUCUCCAUCAGAGACCAAAGGAUGUAGGAGGUUAGCAACUGAUGACACUGGACAACCUUUAACAUUCAGUUAAAUCCAUUGCGCAUAGCUAUUUUUACUGACAAUCAUAUUAUUGCUACAUGUAUGCAAACAAUUUUGUAUAAUACAUAACUUCUCUUUUUCAGAAGGAUUGAAAUUCAUCACCUAGAAUAAAUGGAGAAAACAUAGAUACAAGACCAGAAUAAAUUCAAAGACAAAAGUUGGAUCAGUUAUUAUUUUCAUCACUCAGUCAAUGAUUUGAAGUUCUUUUAAAUACCAAAAGAUAUUGAAACCACAAUAAUGUCAAAGUUCU
rnacentral:lncRNA from 1 species